AUUGAACGCUGGCGGCAGGCCUAACACAUGCAAGUCGAGCGGUAGAGAGAAGCUUGCUUCUCUUGAGAGCGGCGGACGGGUGAGUAAUGCCUAGGAAUCUGCCUGGUAGUGGGGGAUAACGUUCGGACACGAACGCUAAUACCGCAUACGUCCUACGGGAGAAAGCAGGGGACCUUCGGGCCUUGCGCUAUCAGAUGAGCCUAGGUCGGAUUAGCUAGUUGGUGAGGUAAUGGCUCACCAAGGCGACGAUCCGUAACUGGUCUGAGAGGAUGAUCAGUCACACUGGAACUGAGACACGGUCCAGACUCCUACGGGAGGCAGCAGUGGGGAAUAUUGGACAAUGGGCGAAAGCCUGAUCCAGCCAUGCCGCGUGUGUGAAGAAGGUCUUCGGAUUGUAAAGCACUUUAAGUUGGGAGGAAGAGCAUUAACCUAAUACGUUAGUGUUUUGACGUUACCGACAGAAUAAGCACCGGCUAACUCUGUG
rnacentral:rRNA from 1 species